CUCAGUUUUUAAUUGCAACAAGACUAGUGAGUAAAAUUAAAGUUAAGUGAUCAGUUUGUACAGAAUAUAAAGAACUACCAAAUUUUCUUGGAGAUCAAGGACAGAGAAGUUCAUCUGAUCAGUUUGAGCAAUGUUUACUGUGAGUACAAGAUUGAUGGGGCAUCCCUGAUGGAGUGAAAGAUACCAAACACCAGGCCUGGAUGGCCAGGGAAUAGGCUGCCCACAAGAGGAGGAAGGCACAGGAGGAAGGCCUCUGGUCUGUGUGGGAACAGGAAGAAGAGCAAUCAGGUUGGAAAGGAAGUUUCAGAGAUGAAGAUUUGGAGAGGACCUGGGAGAUCUGGAAUUAAUCUCAGAUCAUCCAUUUGAAAUGCUAUCUGGAGCAAGCUUCUCUUUUGAGGGCUCAGAUUCCUUUGUGAAAAAUGGCACCUGUUACUUAGAGGCUUCUGAUGGAUUGAGCGUCUUAUAGGAGCCGAUUAAGGCAAGUGGUGAAGGACUCAAAGGUAAGAGGGUGAGCUUGGUGGCCUAAUGGGAGUGACCAGAGACCUCUCAUCCUUUUCACCCUGUGAGGAGACAGCAAGAAGGCACUGUCCACAAGCCAGAAGGGGAGAUUGUGCACCAGAGGCUUAAUUUCUUCUAUUAGCCUGGCUGCUGGCAAUAACUUCCUGAAGGACACCUUCCGGACAAACUUCCUCUAAUGUUUAUGUUGCCUCCACCAGCCAGUCUUCUAAAUUCUCCUCUGUGUUGUGCCUCUGCCAUGCCAUCUUAACUUGGAGCCAGAUGACUAUGGACUGAAACUUCUACAAACUACAAAAAGGCUAUUUUCGAUCACAAGCUCCUAGGACAGAGAAGCUGAGCCAGUUCCAGCACCCAGAAGGAAGCUCCCCCACUGCCAUACCAAGCUCCUAGGGCAGACAAGGCGAGCUGCGUGGGUAUCAGAAGCACCCCCACACCCCCGUGGAAAUGAGAAGACACAUAAACAAGCCUCAAAAACAGACUUCCAGAUCACCUACAGCAACCCCAAAGGGAAAUGAGAUGGAACACUCUGAUACUCAACCACCUGGACUCUCUGAACUGGCAACAAAAGAGGAUCUGGGAAAAAUGAAAUCAGAAAUAAUUACUCAGGUAACAGCAAAGAUUUUGCUCAUGGUGCAAGGGAUGAUUAAUAAAUCUAGAGAGGACACAGAUAAAAAAAUAGAGGAUCUGAGGAACAUGAUGGAAUCCCAACAUAGGAAACAAAUGGAAUCCAUAAAACAGAUACAAACAGAUUUCCAAGAGAUUGAAAACUCCAUCGAAAGUCUGUGCAGCAGAAUGAACCAAUGUGAGGAUAGAAUUUCACAUAUAGAAGAUAAGAUUGCAAUUAGUUAGGAGGAAAAGAAAAAUUGCUUUAAAAUUAUAAGGGAACAUGAGAAAUCAAUCCAGCAGCUGCUAGACGAUACAAAGAGGAAUAAUAUAAGACUGAUUGGAGUCAAUGAAGAAAGAGGAGAGAGUGCAGAUGACAUAAAAAAAACUGUUCACAGAAGUGAUGGCAGAAAACUUCCCAACCAGGAGAAAAGAACUUGACAUACAGAUAAGUGAGGCAUAUAGGACUCCAAAUAGCCUUGAUCAAAAAAAAAUCUACACAUAGGCAUAUAAUAGUUAGGAUUCCAGAAAUCCAACAGAAGAACAAAAUUCUACAAGCAGUGAGAGAAAAGAAACAAAUCACAUACAAAGGAAAGCCCAUCAGAAUCACAGCAGACUUCUCAAUGCAAACCCUCAAGGCAAGAAGAGCUUGGAGUGAUGUAUUUGAAGCCCUAAAGGAAAACAGCCUCCAACCCAGAUUGAUGUACCCUGCAAAACUAUCUUCCAAAAUUGAUGAAGAAAUAAGAUACUUUCAUGAUAAAGAGCACCUCAGGAACUUCAUGAAUACCAACCUGGCACCCCAAAAAAUUUUAGACAAUACCUUAGGAAAAGACAAUGAGGAUCACAACCCCAGGAAACCCAGCAGAAUGAAUCUAUUGGGC
rnacentral:lncRNA from 1 species